CUUUCCAAGGGAGCAACAGCAGUACGUGAUACUCCUCCAGCGACUCCACCAGCAAUUAAGGACUUGGAUAUACUGAUAAGGGCGUAACUUGGCGCCUUAACCCCUUCUCUUGCUAGCUUCGCCUCCUCAGCCAGAUUCACGAUCGUCGAAACUGCAGAGUCUCCAGUCUUCACGUCCUCUGAUGCCAUCGCCGGAAUCCUAAGUCAAACUUCCGGCGCUGUCUGCUGCUAUUCCGGCGCCUCUUAUUCACUGGAAAUGGGAGUUAGCAUUCGAGAUAGAGAGAGAUGGAGGCGUUGGCCGGAGAGAGAGAGAGAGAGAGAGAGAGA
rnacentral:misc_RNA from 1 species